rnacentral:rRNA from 1 species
CCCGCUGAACUUAAGCAUAUCAAUAAGCGGAGGAAAAGAAACCAACAGGGAUUGCCUCAGUAACGGCGAGUGAAGCGGCAACAGCUCAAAUUUGAAAUCUGGCUCCUUUCGGCGCCCGAGUUGUAAUUUGUAGAGGAUGCUUCGGGUGAAGCUCCGGUCCAAGUCCCUUGGAACAGGACGUCAGAGAGGGUGAGAACCCCGUGUCCGACCGGCUGCGCUCCCCAUGUGAAGCCCCUUCGACGAGUCGAGUUGUUUGGGAAUGCAGCUCUAAAUUGGUGGUAAAUUCCAUCUAAAGCUAAAUACCGGCCAGAGACCGAUAGCGCACAAGUAGAGUGAUCGAAAGAUGAAAAGCACUUUGAAAAGAGAGUCAAAAAGUACGUGAAAUUGUUGAAAGGGAAGCGCUUGCGGCCAGACUUGCCCGCGGAUGUUCAGCCCGUCUUUUGGCGGGUGCAUUCUUCCGCGGUCAGGCCAGCAUCGGUUUGGGCGGUCGGACAAAGGCCCUGGGAACGUAGCCCCUCUCGGGGGGUGUUAUAGCCUGGAGUGCAAUGCGGCCAGCCCGGACCGAGGAUCGCGCUCUGCUAGGAUGCUGGCGUAAUGGCCGUAAGCGGCCCGUCUUGAAACACGG